rnacentral:lncRNA from 1 species
CUGGCAUUUUAAACCCUUAUGUUCUAUGAAUUCCUGUAGAUAGGCUCCUAGAAUGGGGAGGGAAGUCUUCUGGAAAAACAAAUAUAUCUCUGAAGUUCACCUGGGUUUACAUUCUUCUAAAGGGCAUCUUCUGAGUCAGUCUAUGGUUUCCAGGCCAGAAAAGUGCAUUGAAUUCAGGCUUCAGCUGAAAAAGCAGGCCUAGGAAGACUACUCAGGAUGGCUUGACCCUGUAUGCAUUUGAUGCUGCGAUGGAGAUAUUGAUCCUCAUCUUAAGGAAAAAAAAAAUCCCUGUGGCACAGUGAGGUGAAGUAACUUGUCCAAAAUCACAAGGCAAAUAACUAGGGAACAUUCAAGGACCAAACUCUUCCAAAUCUAUGCCCUUUGCACAACGUGAUGGAGAAGAGAGGCCAGGAAACGUCUAAGUAGUCAUUAGCCAAGGCUCUAGAAAAACUAAAUAGCCUCCCCAAAUUCAACAUAGGGAUUCUGCUGCUUGCACACAAGGAAACAGGCAAAAAGAAUUCUUAGGGGAAAAAAUCAGCAACUUUGCAUUAUUUUUGAGGAGUGGGUAGAAGAACAAGACUCUGAAGCCUCUAUUGAGGCAGGUUAUAAAUGGCUGACAUCAGGAUGUUGAGAGGAAACUGGAACAGAGAUUAGAAAACCUGAGGACCAAGCUCCCUGAUCCCUAAGAGCGAACUCGGCAAGCACAUGAGUGCUCGUGGGGGAACUCAGUUCCCAGAGGGGCAUAGGGAGAGCCAACAUAAGGGUAAUAAAAAGCUUCACAAUAGGGAGAUGCCAAAACCAGACCACUGUCUGCCAACUCACUGCCUAUCCAGGCAGCACUGGGGCACAGACUAUAUAACCUAACAAUCUGACAUGAAAGAAGCCCUGACAAGUGAGGAACAGUUGGGAGGGGGGAUAGACAAUAGGGCAGUAGGGGUUCACUAUUCUAGUUUUCCUGUGGAGUUCAAAUGUGUAUGGUUUCAAAACAAAAAUCCAGAAAGAAACAUGAGAUUAAUGCAUUUAUUCCAAGUAAUUAACACAUUAAAAAUAAAGUUAAACUUGUCCAAGCCAACUCAUUCUUUAAUCUUUUGAACAAAAUGUACAACCCAAAACAUCACACUAUAGUGGAAAUAACUUGGGAAAGGGAGAGGUAGAGGAAGGAAUACAUAUGGGUUGAGGAACAGAGAAUCAGUCCAAUCCCAAAACAAGUUUCAGGUCGUCUACCUCUUCUAAACAGAAACAGCUGCUAAACAAUUUAACACAAAGUGUUACUGGAUCACAAUACAAUGAACAAAGGCCAUUUUGAAAAUAAAAGUGACCCAAAAAACAUAUCUGCUCCUGGCACUGAGCCAUGAAUAAGCCUUACCGAUUUGUCGUCUUCCAAAAGUGAGCCUGCUACAUUUUCUUCCAUGUUUACUGAGGCCAUUUCCAAACAGCUUUGUGGAUUAGCAGAACCAUCUCAAGCAAAGGCAACAGAAUGAGGGAAGUAUGGGGAUUGACAUGCCACGAGGAGGUAAACAGUAAACAAAAGAGCUACUCACGCUGCGUUUCAAACAAUGUUAAGGCAGGCCCAUCCAAAUAGAAGCCUAAGAGACGAACAAGCCUUCCUUCAUCAGUAGUUUUCCAUUUCAGCAGGUUUUUUGGUGUCUCUCCCAGAGAUCCAACAGCUGCCCAGGAAAUUAGGUGGGAAUACACACAGCAAUUGGAGAAGUCAACUCUCCGUUUCCCUCCUCCCCCACAUUCCAGAAAUGGCAGAGUCAAAGCCAAAAUACAAUCAAAGCACACUAUGUGGUGAGCCAGAUAGACAUCUGAUUUUAAUGACAAAGUAGGAGAAAAUAAAUUCGCAAAAAAAAAAAAUUAACAGAAAAUACUUUUUUACAGAUAUGUAUAGAAGUUAUGAUUGAUUUGUCUGGUAUCUUAAGGAGAAAGAAAAAAAGGAAAGGAGGUAAAUUUUUUAGCUUCCAUGAACAUUUACUGUAAGAUGCUGACAGCAUCUCUUGGUGUAGGUUCCAGACAAGAUAGCCAUUAGUCCUGGAUCAUCUGGGCACCUGAUUUCUAGAAGCCAAUCUGAUUCAUCCACAAGUAGCUCUGGAUACAUACUCAGUCUCGAACACUGGAUCCUGUGUGGUCCUGGAUAGCAUCAACUGCAGCUUCCUGUGCAGAUAUUUCCUGAGGGACCACAUUGCCUCCAUUGACCUGCUCCCUUGUAGGGGACCCUGAAGCCAGAGAUUUUACCAAAUUCAGAGGGUUGUCAGUGUCCUCAUCUACUUGAGGAAUUACUACCUCUGUGGUGGAUGCAUUCGGUAUUUCCAGCUGUAGUGGUCCCAUCUCCAGGGAACUACACCCAGGAGGGUCACCUGGCUCAGGGAGAGGAGAACAUAACUUUUCUUUUUGAACUCCUGAUGUCCGUGUGACAAAAUCAACAAGGUCUGGAAGGGAAUGAGAUGGCCCAAGGCCUGCAGGGUUAAUUGUUUCCGAUUCUGAUCUGAGUGAAUCUUGUUUCUCUAAUGAAGUUUCUUCUACUUCCUCAGGCAUCAUUCCUCCUGCUAACAGGUCAAGGGCCUGGUGUGUUCCCUCUAGGGUCCCUAAACCAAGGUCAACAUUUUCUAUAGGAAGUCCACUUUUCAAAAUGUUAGGAGUGACUCUCCCACUUCUGGGAUUAGAUGAGUUUUGUUCACCCUCUGCUCCAAAGUUAAGCACCAGGGUUUUGGGAGACUCUAAUGGAAACUCAGAAAAGGAUGUGACUGGUUCAAAGUCAGUGAGAGUGGAGGAAUUACAUCCUAUAGGUGACAGAGAAUUUUCUUCACAUACUUUCUGAGACAGAGCAGUUGGGGAUCUACGUGCUGGGUCUACCCGAGUAUUGGAGAAGUCAAUACCCAUAUCCCCUAGGGUCCCCAGGGCAGCCAGCUCUUCUACUUUUAAGUUGGUGACUUCAAAGUCUUCUAAGGCUUUGCUUUCUAUCGUCACUGUUAAUUCUGGAUGGACAUCUCUUGGCUCCAGGGCUUCUGCUUCUGUUUUCUCUGGGGUCUCACAGGUCUCUGGCUUCUUCUCGUUCUCAUCCCAAAUAGCCAGUUCACAGAUCAUUUUACCAUGAAAGUCUUUUGAUCUUUCUCUCUUGAGUUUGAGGCUUCUGUACCUAGAAGUUCUGGAAGCUGAUUCUGGAGCUGAAUUUUCUAGCCACUCUUCACUACCAGUUGAAACUCCUUGCUCCUGUGUACUAUCUUUUAAACACAUAUCUGAUCUGGCUGGGGACUGAAGAAGCAAUUCGGAGGCAGAAACUUUCACAGGUGUAUCUUGUGGGUUCUGGCAUAAAGAUGUAACUUCUGCUGGAAGUGAGCCUAUUUUUGCCUUUGUGGACGAGAGAGCCGGUGCACUCAAUUCGAUCACUACUUUACUCUGAGUAUCACUUCCUGUCAUCAAUUUCUUAGACUGUUCAGCCGUUUUGUCCGUCAUUUGCAACUUGGGCUGUUCUACUUCUCCCUCCCACAUGUAUCUGCUCCCAUGGUUGAAAUUAGAAUCCUCUCUGCUACUAGGCCCAACGUUGAUACCUGUUCCCUCUCCUAUCAUCCUCUCAGAGAGCUGUGCUCCCCUUUCUUUUAGUUCAGUGUUUGUCUCUAUGUCACUUUCUCCACAAUCCUUAGAUUGGUGGUACUCUUGGCUUUCUUCAACCUGGUCACCAGUUUCUAUAACAUGAGUUUCGACCAACUUCUGAGAUUCCAUGGUAUGACAAUGUAUAUCUGACAGCUGUGGGGCUGGCUCUACACCUGGUGGCUCUGGCUCUCUCCCUGGUGGCCCUGGCUCUCCCAGGUCAAGCUCAAUUUUUCCUUCUGAAGACAUAUCCCUAUUAGCAUCGCUCUGGAAGGAGCUAGAAGUCCAUACAGCCAAAGUGUCUGUCUUUGGGGUAACGGCUUCAUAAGGCCUGCUUUGGCACAACCUUGUCAGAGGCUGUAGGAAGCCAUAGCUGCUGCCUCUGCUUUUUGAGUCUAUGUGUUCUACAACUGACCACUUCCCUAGAGACACCAGAGGUUUUGCAAUGGGCUUUUCGGGGUUGCUGACUAAAGGAGCAGAGACCAAACUUCUAUCUGGAGGCAACUCCUCUUGGGAUGCACUGCUGUUCAAAGUAGAAGAGGUAUCUGAACUUUCGACUCUAGAGAGGUUGCUAUUUUCCCCGUUGGCCAAUGGACCACCACUCAGCUUAGUCUCAGGGGCUCCCCUUUCCACCACUACUGUAGAAUAUGUCAUACAGGUCCUUAGCAUUGGCUGUGGCUAAGCAUGAAUUUCGCUUUUCCAAUUUUUUGGCUUGUUCACUGAACACGCUUGAGAGGGGAGGUGGUGGACGUACUAACACAGAGAAAAGGGUCUGGUCCCGGUCACUCUCACUCACCCCAGGAGCUGUCUCAUCAGAAGGAAUGGCAGCUGGCUGUGCUGAGGCCAUGAUGGCUACCGGCAACACUGGGUUCAAAAUGUUAGGACCCAGGAAACCAGGGCUGAGAGCAUGAGCAACAGUCAGGUUUGAUUUCACUGGAGUCAAGAUAGCAUUUGCUUGACCAGGAGAUGGGGCAGCUGGAUGAGGAAUAACUGGGGGUGGUGGAGGAGGGGGCAGCAUUUGUUCAGGUAUAUGGGAUGGCUCAUUCUUUUCAGUCAGCACCAUUUUUUCCUCUGGAGACCCUUUCAGAAUCACCUCUUCCCCUCCAAAUGCUUUGGAGAUGAUGUCGGGAGGCAAGAGGAGAUCAGCUGAAGACUCUUUAACCACUGGCAGAGGCUUAGCAGUGGUUCCAGAGGACUUGAUAGAUAGAAAGGUGUUAAGAGGAGCUGGCUUGCUCACUGUGGCUGAACCUGACUUGCGGAGUACUGUGGAUGGGAUAGGCAGGUUGGGUCGGAUCUUGGUCUGGGUUGAAGUUGUCACAACAGGCAUCCAUGGGCUAGUAUGUGCAACCACAGUUUUCCCAGAGAGCUUGAUUUUGAUGGGCUUUGCCUUCCCAGCUUCAGCUCUGCCAUCCUCUUUGUCCUUACUGCUUUCCACAAUCUCUUCCUUGGGAAUACUUGGGGCCACUGAACUUUUCUCCUCCUCUUUUUCUGGCUUCUUCCAGCUGAACUUCCCAAAAGAGGAAGAUGCUGGUGAUUCUUUCUUUACCUCUUCUUUUAAUUGGAGCUUGAUGCUAGCCUUCCUUUUAUUUUCAGCCUUUUCAGGGGAGUUCCCACCCUCAGAGAGUUGGUCCUCUAAUUCCUCAGAGGCCCUGUCAUCCUCCUUUACUUCUUUCAUAAUCUUUGUCUUUUUUUCUUUCUUCUCUUCCUUUGGUUUCUCACUAAGUUUGCGCUUCAGCUCGCUCUGCCGUCGCCGUUCUGUCUCUAGGACCACAGCCAAGCCAGCCUGGCGGUCCAGAUUCCGCCGCUCCUCAUACAAUGGGUUUUCAACCACAUAUUUCUGGGAAGAGAAAAGAUAAAGGCUCAACAACUGAUCAAAAUACUAUAAGAGAGAAAAUCUUGGCCCUGCCACUGUUAGAAUUCAUGUAGUAGAAAGUCCUAGAAGAGUCAUCUUCCUCAAGGAUAUAUCCUUCCUCAAGGAUGUUAGUCAGCAUCUCUCAC